rnacentral:lncRNA from 1 species
CGCCCCCGAAGUCCAGCAAAUUUGAACUUCUUUGUGCAACUGUUAUAAAGAUGCCAAGCCCCUCAGAGAUUGGCAACCAGGAAAAGGAAGAGGACAAGGAAAGGAAAGAGCGUCCAGCGAGUCAGAGUCAGCUGAGUAAGGGCGCCAUCCAUCACCAGUGCUUCCUGGGCAGCCCGCAUCGUUCGAGUCACAGAGGGCACGGGCUCCAGCCAGCCAAGGACAGAGGAAAAAAACAACCUUGGCUUUGCUUUAUUA